rnacentral:tRNA from 1 species
GGCGGCGUAGCUCAGUUGGUUAGAGCACGCGGUUCAUACCCGCGGUGUCACGUGUUCGAAUCACGUCGCCGCUA